GCCCUCGUAGCUCAAUGGAUAGAGCGUCAGAUUGCGGAUCUGAAGGUUAGCCGUUCGAAUCGGCCCGAGGGCGCCA
rnacentral:tRNA from 3 species